rnacentral:rRNA from 1 species
AGAGUUUGAUCAUGGCUCAGGACGAACGCUGGCGGCGUGCCUAACACAUGCAAGUCGAACGAGGUUCAUUCGGUAGCAAUACCGGAGAAAACCAAGUGGCGAACGGGUGAGUAACACGUGAGCAACCUACCCCGAAGACUGGGACAACACCGGGAAACCGGUGCUAAUACCGGAUACCCCCAUUGGACCGCAUGGUCUGAUGAGGAAACGGAUUCCGCUUCGGGAGGGGCUCGCGGCCUAUCAGCUAGUUGGUGAGGUAACGGCUCACCAAGGCAUCGACGGGUAGCUGGUCUGAGAGGACGAUCAGCCACACUGGGACUGAGACACGGCCCAGACUCCUACGGGAGGCAGCAGUGGGGAAUCUUGCACAAUGGGCGAAAGCCUGAUGCAGCAACGCCGCGUGAGGGACGAAGGCUUUCUGAGUUGUAAACCUCUUUCAGCAGGGACGAUGAUGACGGUACCUGCAGAAGAAGCCCCGGCCAACUACGUGCCAGCAGCCGCGGUAAUACGUAGGGGGGCAAGCGUUGUCCGGAUUUAUUGGGCGUAAAGAGCUCGUAGGCGGCUUGGCAAGUCGGAUGUGAAACCUCCAGGCUUAACCUGGAGUCGCCAUUCGAUACUGCUAUGGCUAGAGUUUGGUAGGGGACCACGGAAUUCCUGGUGUAGCGGUGAAAUGCGCAGAUAUCAGGAGGAACACCAGCGGCGAAGGCGGUGGUCUGGGCCAAUACUGACGCUGAGGAGCGAAAGCGUGGGGAGCGAACAGGAUUAGAUACCCUGGUAGUCCACGCCGUAAACGUUGGGCACUAGGUGUGGGGACCUAUCGACGGUUUCCGUGCCGCAGCUAACGCAUUAAGUGCCCCGCCUGGGGAGUACGGCCGCAAGGCUAAAACUCAAGGAAUUGACGGGGGCCCGCAC